rnacentral:rRNA from 1 species
CGGUGGAGCAUGUGGUUAAUUCGACGCAACGCGAAGAACCUUACCAGGUCUUGACAUCCCCUGCAAAGCUAUGGAGACAUAGUGGAGGUUAUCAGGGAGACAGGUGGUGCAUGGUGUCGUCAGCUCGUGUCGUGAGAUGUUGGGUUAAGUCCCGCAACGAGCGCAACCCUUAUUGCUAGUUACCAUCAUUAAGUUGGGGACUCUAGCGAGACUGCCAGUGAUAAACUGGAGGAAGGUGGGGAUGACGUCAAAUCAUCAUGCCCCUUAUGACCUGGGCUACAAACGUGAUACAAUGGCUGAAACAAAGGGCAGCGAAGGAGCGAUCUGGAGCGAAACCCAAAAAAGCAGUCUCAGUUCGGAUUGAAGUCUGCAACUCGACUUCAUGAAGUCGGAAUCGCUAGUAAUCGCGGAUCAGAAUGCCACGGUGAAUACGUUCCCGGGCCUU